rnacentral:rRNA from 1 species
UACGUAGGUGACAAGCGUUGUCCGGAUUUACUGGGCGUAAAGAGCGCGCAGGCGGUCGUUCAAGUCGAGUGUGAAAGCCCCCGGCUCAACUGGGGAGGGUCAUUCGAUACUGAUCGACUCGAAGGCAGGAGAGGGUAGUGGAAUUCCCGGUGUAGUGGUGGAAUGCGUAGAUAUCGGGAGGAACACCAGUGGCGAAGGCGGUUGCCUGGAGCUUUGCUGACGCUGAUGCGCGAAAGCGUGGGGAGCGAUCCGG